rnacentral:lncRNA from 10 species
UCAUCUUCCUCUCUCUUGUAAUUUAUUUGUAACACAUGAAUUUAAAUAGAUUACAACAGUGGUGAAUUCAUAUCACUUUCAAAAGUUAUCUUCCUUUUUGAAAGUUAAUAUUUUAGCCAGUAAUUAAACAUAAUUAGUGACUUUGUGAUCAGAUGUUCAUUUUCUUCCACUUAGCCAACGGGCGGCAUGUGGUGAAUUAAAAUAGCAGGUGGAAUUUUAGAACAGGUGACAGGUUCCUGAGCACCCACGAAGGUUAGAUUCAGAUGAUGGGCGCAGCUUUUCUUUAGUAUAGCAGAAACCUUGGGAUGCCUGGGAUGAAGACAAGGGAGAGCAGAGUAGGCAGAGAGCAACUGCCACCGUAAAGCCUGGACAAGUCUCAGAGCGAUAAAUCUGUUCAUUUAGGGCCCAACAUGAGUUUUUCUUUCUGAGAAGUAUAGCCCAAGUUAUGCAAAUCUGUUAGAUAUGAAAUCGCUCUUACAAAACAGCAUUUGGAUGAGUCCCAAGUAAACAAAUCAGACCCACGCAGAUCAAAUUUUCAUUAAAAUGCAUGAUUUUAAGAAUGGGGUGGGGGAAGGAAGCUGAGAAAUCAAAGGUGACUUUAACUACAUCUUAAAUUCAGUUUUUGCCCCAAGUCUAUGUUCUAUACAGCUUUCUGUUUUUCUUUUUAAAACGCCGAUCCCACCAAAUAAGCUAAUUGCGCUGAUGACAGCACAUUUGGUAAACGGUGGCCUACAGACCUCAGACGGCUCCUCUCUGCCUUAGUUCAGAUUUCUGUGAGCACCACAAGGCUGAAGGGAUCCUCUAAUUAUGGGUGGGAUUAGUGCUCAAUAGCCGAUGUGUUGCUCUUCGUGGCUUGCAGCCCUCGUGGUUUCUCUGCUCCUUAUGGUCACUGUGGCCACCUAGAAAUUCUUUUCAGGAGCAUAAUAACCGGAUCAGCUGCUGCAGGCUGGAGCCCGGCGGAACAAAGGGAGGCGGAGGGUGCUCCCACCGGCCUCUGCCUGCUCACAGAUCCCAGCGGGCACCCCCGGGGUCACAGCAGACAAAACCAGAGUCCAGCCCCAUUUGAUAGGGCUCCAUCCCACACGACCCACUGCCCCUACUUAAGGUCUGGGGGAUAGGCUCCAACAGCGUGCACUAUUUGCCAACAAAAGUACUAGCAGUGGAAAGAAAUACACACCCAGGCACUACAACACACAGGAAGACUCCUCUUGUUCAGUUUUCCCUUUCAGCUAUUACUCCCUGGAAAUCUUGAAGAUAGCUGUGAGAAGUUUAUUACUAAGCAUCAGUUUUUAAUAUUAAUCUUGUACCAGGAUCAUUUUAAUAAUCAUUAACGAGGAAACAGGAGGUGGUGGGCAUUUAUUUUAUUGUCAAGUGAGGCAGUUUCUUGUUCUGUUCAUCAUUCUUGAAGCUUCUCUUGCACCACCCGUUCCCUGAUGCCACAGUGUGGAGAGGUUUUCCCUAAGCAGCAUCUGGUCCCCUUGGAGGAUUCCACAGGCUUUUUGUCUCUUUCAGGUUUUCAAUAGUGGCCUCUGGGGGCGCCGGGGGGAGGAACCAUCUGGCCAGGCGUCACCUGGCCAGUUGGGCCUGCCUGGCCUCACGCUGCUCAGCAUUCCUCUGCAUCAAAUGGCUCAGUGCCUGCCGGGGACCUGGUCAAGUGCUGGACAAUGGGCCACAGAGCUUAGCACUGAGCCAAGAAUGUAGUGUUAAUAAGAACACUUUUUAUUCACAAUAAGGACAGAUAAUAUAGUUUGAGAAUGUGGGAUACUAAGCAACAAAAUUGGGUUUCAAUGUUGAUUCAUUUAUCUCCUAGCUGCGUGGCCUUAGGUGACUUACUUCAGAGUUGUGCUUCUGCAAAAGAAGAAAAAUAAUAACAACUGGAUUGUUGUGAGCAGACAAGCAUGUUUGGCCCAUGUGCACAGCAAAUGCAUCAGAAAGCUGAUGUACCUGAAACCCAUAACUCAUACACGUUAGUGAAGAAAUGAAGAAAUAGCAGCUUCCUCACCCUGCACCAUCUCCCUGAGUUCCAGCAGGAUCCUCAACAGUUGCCCACAAUGAGAACUUGCUUGAUUACACACUCAUUAUUGGAUUUAGUCCCUUCCCUGUCUCACUUUGCUGCUUCUCUGUUGGUGCCUCCUGGGAUUAUCCCCGAAGUAAAUCAUACACACUACAGUCCUUAUCACAGGGCCUGCUUCUGGGAGAACCUACUGAAGACAAAACCCGCCGGCAUAGUCCAUGUGGGUCAGCCUCCCAUGGCAGAGAACAAGUGAAGAGAGGGUGCCUGGUCUGCUUCACACACUUCAGCUAGUAGUGUAAGCCUGGCAAUAACAAUUGUACAGUCGUUUCUUGAUUGUGUUCCUCUUUCACAACACUGCACAGUCAGCCACCCCAUUCCCUGAGGUUGACUUCUUGUGUUUAACUUUUUGACUUACUGGUAUCUACUGGGCCUUGGCACAGCAUUAUAUAUAUGUGUAGCAUUAUAUAUAUGUGUGUGUGGCUUCUGUAAGGAAUAGAUAGGAACCCAUUCUAGGUAAGAUGUGGGGUGAGUGGGGGGUAGGAAAUGGUAGAGUUGUAAAAAAGUAAAAUAUUAAUAAAAGUUGGAUGGCGUGUCUAAUAGAAAACAAAACCUUAGAACUUGAAUGAACACAUGUACAUUUCAAACCAUCAGUUAACAAUUGAGAGAGGGCUGGGAGGGUGAGGUCAAGAGAAAAAGGAAGCCUACUAAGCCUCCCUUAAAUUAAAAUAUAUAGGCAGUAAAUCCUCCCACCAAUACAAGAGGCCAGAUCUGCUGUAAAAACUAGAACCAGGUAUCCACAUGAAGUGAAAUCAAACCUGAUUUAUUGUAGCACAUCUGAACACUUCAGGUCCCAGUAAAAUCUCAGCAUAUUGUAUUAGAGUUAAAACGGAUUAGUAAAGGAUGAGAAGGGCUUCAAUAAAUUAUUUAUUAGAACACUAGUAACUUGAGGGCCUAUAAUGGGGACUGGCAUGUAGUUGGUACUUAGUAAAUAUUUAAUGUAUGGAUUGAUAGAUAGAUGAUUGGUUGAAUAGACAGGUUAGGAUAGCAGUAUAAAACCAAAAGGAACUUAACCGUACUCAUCCAUAAUCUUCUUUGUCCAAAACAAUCUUAACACUUUUCUCAUAGUGUGUGUGUGUGUAAGAUAUAUAUAUAUGCACAUACAUAGACACACACGUAUAUUACAUAAUAUUAAUAUAAAGUUGUUCCAUUGGCCAGAGCAAGCCACAUGGAUAAGCCCAGUGUUAAUGUAGGAGGGUGCAACAGAGUAUUUUACAAGGAAGCAUUCAUCGAUUAAAGCCAUGAUUACACCAAGAGAGGAGUCCCUCCUUUCUCCUGUGCAGUGAAGACUUCUGAGGCCUGAACCUACCACCUCAGGGUUCUUCACCUCCUGAAAGGCAGGAUGAGUUUCAUCCUGAAGGAGGUCUGGAUGGAGUGUCCAAAUGAUAAGUGAAUUUCUGGAAAACUAACCCAUACCUCCUGAAAUAGAAUUUCCAAGAAAGAGCCUCAAAAUCUCUAUUUUAAUUAAGCAUAGACAGGUGAGGGAGCAGGUACGUAUGCUUCUACAGGUUUCCAUUUCAAUACGGGAAUUAGGCCCAGUGAUUUUGAGGCUGAUUACAAGUGUCCCUUAUCUGUGUGAUCACUUAGUGUUGUUAACUGGCAUGUCUUUUACAGGAACAUCAAAGACCCUGAGAAGCCAAAAGUUAUGAAAUGCAUCAGCAGUGGGUUGAAGACAAGACCUCUCCUUUUCCUGCUGACAUUUCUUCCAUGAGCAGUACCCAGACAGCCGACAGAAAGAGCCCAGGAGGUAACUGGGGACAUGAGAUGAAAACUCAAGAUGCAAGGGUAUCCCAUCUUUUGGCUUCCUUGGGCCACAUUGGAAGAAGAAGAAUUAUCUUGGGCCAUGCAGGAAAUACACUAACAAUAACUGAUGAGCUAAAAAAAAUCACCAAAAAAUCUGAUAAUGUUUUAAGAAAGUUUACAAAUUUGUGUUAGGCCACAUUCAAAGCAAUCCUGGGCUGCCUGUGGCCUAUGGGCCACGGGCUGGACACGCUUGCAAGGGAGAGGACAGAUAAAGAUACGUAUGAGAGCAUCCUCCUUAGAGAAAGGUCAGUGUUGAAGUCAUAGGGUAAGGGAACUCUUUCAAAAGAAAGUAAAAAAAAAAAAAAAAGAUAGCGAAGUAAAUCAUGUGAAGUCUCUACAGAGUAAGGGCCAAAGGGAGGACACAGUAGCUUAAAAUCACAAUAUUGUUUUUGUUCCUAUUUUUGUUUUUCUCAUAAAGCUACAGGUCAGCUGGACAGCUCGCUCUUGGGUCCUCACAAAGCUACUGGUCAGCUGGGCAGCUCAGCUGGGUCCUCAUCAAUGAACCAGGGUUGGCUGAUUUUAGCUGGGCUCACUCAAUUUUCUAGAGUCCACUGGUCUGUCUGCUGCAGUGUGGCUGAUCUAGGACAGCCCUGGCCUUGGUGACCUGGCUCUGCUGCACGAUGCAGCCAUCCUCUAGCAGGCUAGCCUAUCACAGCAAAACAGAAGCACAAAAGAGAGAUCAGGAAAACGCAUAGCUUCUUAAGGCCUAGGCCCUAAACUGGUGCAUCACUUACUUCUUGGCAACAUUCUGGUGGCCAAAGGAAGUCACAUGUCCAACCCCAGACUCUAAAGGAGGGAAAAGAGACCCGAUGCCUUAAUGGGAGUAAAGUCACAUUGCAAAAGGCAAGGAUCCCAAAAAUGUUUCAAAAAAAAUUGGAGGCCAUCUUUGCAAUCAAAGUUAGAUUAUUCUCAAUGGUAAAAGUUGGAACCACAAUAUUAUUGUUACCUUCAAAGAGUACACCUAGCUGAAUCCCCCAGUCAAUGCAGGAAUUCCCCCAAAUUAAACACACACACACACACACACACAUACACAUAAACCCUCAAAGAUUCCCACAACUUGACCAUUUGACCUAGCUUUUCUCACUGGGUAAAAAAAGCAAGAGGGAAAAAAAAACCACUGCAGCUCUCUCCCACCCCUGCUGUUCAGCCUUCAGUUUAUCUGGCCUCUGCUAUGAGUCACAGCUGACUGAAGGGUGGGGGUGGGUUGUGAGUCAUGGCCUAAAACAAAGAUAGAAUUUGAUGGGGGUGGACGAGCAGGCGAGAGAGAAGACACGGCAAGUUCAGGCAUUCUCUCAGUGUUUAGGGUGAUGUCUUCUUUCCUGCAGCUGGGGAAGUUGGGCAGAGUGCCCCCGAAGGAGGAGAUUCCACACAGGCCCUGUGUAUCUGAGAGUUGAGUUGCUGAUUUCAGAGGUGUUUGUAUCAUUGCUCUAAAUGUGUUUCUGCUCCCCUCCCACCCAAGAUGCUGGUUCAACGGACCAUUUCAUCCUACCAUUAUACAGAACCCACAGGAGCUAGUUACCUGGUCAGUUUGAGAAGUUAAUAUUUAAAAAGACUAAUGGUUGCAUAUGGCUUCCACAGGAAAGAAAUAAUAAGCUAAUGUUAUCUAUUGACUCAAUCCCACAUAUAUUUACAUUUGACAACUUAAAAAAAAAACCUUCGGCUCAAUGAUAGUUUAGCUCAAGUCACUAUGUUAGGAUAUAUAUUUCUUUCAUCUAUGACUAUUUUUGUCUGCACAGUAACCUGCCUCAAGCACACAAAUAUUUGUGUGUCUGGCCUCAAGCAAUUAACGUGUCUCCUAACAUGAGAUAAAGAUUAAAUGAAAAUUCUGUCACCCUGAAAUAAACCUGGAAGCAGAAUUCCUGAAUGUUUGCCAAAUAAGGUGACUAUCAGACUUAAGAUGCUGAACUUUGAAAUGACUGUCAUAGAAACAAAGGCAAGGCAUGGUUGGCGCCCAUUCAACCUGGUCAAUAACAUCCUUAAUUACAGGACAUGGCAUCAUUUUGAUUCACAGUGGAAUAAAAGGCAUCUAUUUGUAUAUUUGGAAGUCUGAAUGAGGAUUUCCUGAUGAAGUCAUUUCUGUCUUACAACAGCUUCGCUUGUACCAGUAGAGUUAAAACUGGGUCACCAUUUUUAUGCGAGCGUAUGGAUACACAUACAUCCACACUCGAACCCCAAACACACACACACACACACACACACACUUCAUUUCAGAGUCUAAUUAAAACUCUAUUAUACAUAAUUUUCUUCCAGAUCAAUGGUGGUGUUGGAUCAAAAUUGUAGCUCACAAGGAAAAUCCUGUAAAGGAACCAUAUUUUUCUGUGUUGCCUGCCAAAAUGAGAACAUCAUUUGUUAAAUAAUGUGGGACACAGGUGCCCCGGAUGUACUAUUUAAUGGAGAAAGAAAAAGAGAGAAACAAUGGCUGCCAGUAUCCGGGAAAAAUGCGACUAGCUUCUUAAGCUUCUUCACCCAGAAAUUGUUACAAAUAGAAGGGAAUCUGACUUUGAGCUAUGAGUUGUUGCUUCCCCAUGACUGAAUUCCCCAAGAACUGAGUUAUUACUGACCUGUGAUUUGCUCAUCAUAAGGUCUCACUGUUAAUUACUGCUCUCUGCUCCGCAGAAACUUUGAAUUCCACCAAAGGGUGUGCCGAAGGCUUAGAUGUUGAGAAGCGUGAAUUCAUCCUGCACAACAAAUAUCAUAGAGAUGGGACUGGAGCGGGGGACAAGAAGGGGGAGAAUGAACAAGAUGCAUGUUGCAAAACCCCAAGGGGUGCUAUUUGUAUGGUAGCCUGAGUGAACAGCAAUUUCCCUGAGGGGUGGUUGCAGCAGAUACUGUGGGUACCAUCUCUACAUCUCUUACUCCUUACUCGUUCCUGCCUUACUCCUUCAGGGCAGAGCAGCCCAACUUACUCUUUGCCUAAGGACAGUCUCUGGUAUCUAAGUCUAGGUUAGCCACUCAUGGCAGGCCAGAUGAAUGAUUGCUAGGAGUCUUGCAUAUACACCCGGUUUCCUUGCCACUUGGAUAGGAUAAAGGUGCUUCACCCCAUUUUCCAGCAGUCUCCAGCAAGUCUAGGUUCCACUUGCUCACAGCAGUAGCUGAUUUUGUGAAACAUCCUUUCUGGGCUGCCUUCCUUUCUCUCUCUCCCUUUCCCUCUCCCAUCUCUGAUUUUCUUCUACUUCCCCCAAUAUAUUAAUAUUAUCUCAGGGAUGGCUUUUGGGAACCCCAAUCAAAGAAAGGAGCAAACUCAAUUAAGACCCUCUGUUUUAGGUAACUUUGGGAACCUGGUGGAGCAUCCUGACAUUACAUCCUGAACCAGAGUAUGUCUCAAGAUAUUUUUGGAUCCUGCUUUUGUGGAGACAGAAUCCACAACACAGCAGAGAGUUCCUCACUCCAAGAGGUACAUUCUUCUUACUGUCUGGUUCACUCCCUAGACACAUGCCAGCUUGACCAUCAUACAGAGCAGCCCCCAGGAUGAAGGCAAACUUCUAUCUGGAGUCUGAUCUUUCCAAGAUAGGGCUGAAUCAACUUAGCUCUUUUUUCUUGUGGCUCAUUGCUGCUUUCCAGAUUGAGAAUAGCCUCAGAUUUCUUUCUGGCUUCCAUAUACCAUGCAUCCUAUUGCUUUGCUUAUACUCUUACCCCCCAAUGUCAAAAUAGUCCUGAAGUGUAUACCAGAUCAUGUCACACAUAUGCAGAACUGAUCAUGUCAGUUCAACCUUGGCUCCAAGAAUAAAGCUGUAAGUCCUAUAACCACAAGGCCUUAGGGUGACUUGAUUCCUGAAGGCUACUCCAAUAUCAUUUCUUCUCAUUUUCCUCAUCACACCUUGCCUUUCUUUGAACGUGGUGACAUAUUCCUGCUGCAGAAUUUUGCAUUGGCUGUUUCCUCUAUCUGGUGCACUCUUUUUAUUGAAGGUGCACUCUUACCUAACCUAACUCAUGCUUUUGUGCAAAUGUCACCAUCUCAGACAGGCCUUUGCUAACCAUCCCAGCACCCCUUUAAUUUAUUAUUGCUUACUUUAAUUGUUUCUCUUUAUAGCUGUCAGCACCAACUGACAUUAUAUGUACUCGUUUGGCUGGUUUUUGUUAGUCUUUCCAUGACAAUGUAAGCGCCACUGGCUCAUCACUAACAUCAUGUGCCUGGCACACAGAAAGUACUCAAUUAAUAUUUAUAUGGUUGCUGAAUUAAUAUAUGGUGUUACCUUUAAAGAGAAGCGAAGUAAUCUGUAAAUGCUUUUACUAAAAUAAUCAUUUACCUGCAGACUAGGUAUUUUAAAAUAUAGUCUAUUUCCUGUUAUAGAUUGAUUUAUUUUUAAAGUAUUGUCUCCUUACUCUUUAAAGAUACAUUUUCCCUGUUUUCCAAAUUAGUUAUUUUUUCUUUUUGAUUAUUCAUUCCCAAGUUAGGAGAAUGUCUAAAACUUGAGAUGUACUGACUGACAAAUUAACUAACAAAGAACAGAAAUAUAUACCUCAAAUUGCACUGCUAUCAUCUAUGAUCAUUUAUUUAUUCAGCAGAUAUUAAUUGAGCGUUUACUAUAUCUCAGACACCGCUGUACAUAUUCAGAGAAUACAACAGCCAAAGAUUUCUCACCUCAAAGAACUUAUACAGAAAAGACACGCAAUAAAAUGUAAACAUGAUAAAUGAAUUAUUUUAUUUUAUUUUAUUUUAUUUUUGAGACAGAGUUUUGCACUUGUUGCCCAGGCUGGAGUGCAAUGGCGUGAUCUCGGCUCACCGCAACCUCUGCCUCCCGGGUUCAAGCGAUUCUCCUGCCUCAGCCUCCCAAGUAGCUGGGAUCAUAGGCAUGCGCCACUAUGCCCAGUUAAUUUUUUGUAUUUUUAGUAGAGAUGGGGUUUCACCAUGUUGGCCAGGUUGGUCUGAAACACCCGACCUCAGGUCAUCAGCCCACCUCGGCCUCCCAAAGUGCUGGGAUUACAGGCGGGAGCCACUGCACCUGACUGAUAAAUGAAUUAUUUAAUGUGUUUGAAGGAUACACUAGGGUGGUCAGGGGAGGCUUCACUAAGUUGACUUCUGGGCAGAGCUUGAAUUAGUGAGUGUGAAUGUGAAGCCAUGUGCAUACAUGUGGGAGGAGCACUCUAGACAAAGAGCAAGGCCAAGGCAGAGGUUCUGAGGUGGGAGCAUGCCAAGCUUGUUAUAGAGGGCAAGCUGCAGGCUGCUGAGCAAGGAGGAAGAGGGGUAGGAGAUGAAACCAAAGAAGAAUCAGGAAAGCAGGCCAUGUAGGCCCCUGGAAGCAUUAAAAGGACCUUGAUUUUCACAUAUGCCAAUAAUUGUUAAAAGGCAAUAAUAAUAGCUGUUGCCACCACAUUCGACUACAUAGUAUUCCCUGCUUGUUCCAUAUAAAGUUACUCCAUGUAAAUACAGACCCUGUGAUCACUCUUGUUGAUAAUGAUUUUAUUGUAUUAUUGUUUCUCUAUAAGGUGACUGCUGUUACAUUUUUCUUAAUUACACAGCAGUGAAACACUUCAUUGAUAAUAAAUACAAAGGAGAAAAAAUAAUUUAUAAAAUAAAAAUAGAGGUUUAAUAAAU